GGCUUGUUCGUCUAGACAUAUGAUUCUCGCUUAGGGUGCGAGAGGCUCCAGGUUCAACUCCUGGACGAGCCU